rnacentral:rRNA from 1 species
UACAGAGGUCUCAAGCGUUGUUCGGAUUCAUUGGGCGUAAAGGGCGCGUAGGCGGUGCUCUAAGUCGGAUGUGAAAACUCUGGGCUCAACCCAGAGCCUGCAUCCGAAACUGGAGUGCUAGAGUUCUGGAGGGGUAGGCGGAAUUCCUGGUGUAGCGGUGAAAUGCGUAGAUAUCAGGAGGAACACCGGUGGCGAAGGCGGCUACCUGGACAGAAACUGACGCUGAGGCGCGAAAGCUAGGGGAGCAAACAGG